rnacentral:lncRNA from 1 species
UAAUUUUUCCUAUACAUGAUUUUUGGAUUAAAUUGAAUAGAAUGAAAUUUAAAUGAGCUAAAUUUGAUUAUAUAGAUAAAGAAAAGCAACGUACGGAUUUAUAUUGGGGAAAAAAGUAUUAGAUUAAUCGAUCGUACUUCUCCGUUCGUGUUUGAGGUAAGUUCGUUAAUUUAAAUAGCAUUCAAUUGUGUUUGAAUUAAAUGCU